rnacentral:rRNA from 1 species
UACGGAGGGAGCUAGCGUUGUUCGGAAUUACUGGGCGUAAAGCGCACGUAGGCGGCUUUUUAAGUCAGGGGUGAAAUCCCGGGGGCUCAACCCCGGAACUGCCCUUGAAACUGGAGAGCUAGAAUCUUGGAGAGGCGAGUGGAAUUCCGAGUGUAGAGGUGAAAUUCGUAGAUAUUCGGAAGAACACCAGUGGCGAAGGCGACUCGCUGGACAAGUAUUGACGCUGAGGUGCGAAAGCGUGGGGAGCAAACAGG